rnacentral:tRNA from 2 species
UCGGGUAUCUUCUAACGGUAGUGAUAAUGCGCUUUGAACGCGGAGAUUGAGGUUCGAAUCCUUGUACCCGAA